CGACCGCUGGCGGCGUGCUUACCACAUGCAAGUCGAACGGAAAGGCCCUGCUUUUGUGGGGUGCUCGAGUGGCGAACGGGUGAGUAACACGUGAGUAACCUGCCCUUGACUUUGGGAUAACUUCAGGAAACUGGGGCUAAUACCGGAUAGGAGCUCCUGCUGCAUGGUGGGGGUUGGAAAGUUUCGGCGGUUGGGGAUGGACUCGCGGCUUAUCAGCUUGUUGGUGGGGUAGUGGCUUACCAAGGCUUUGACGGGUAGCCGGCCUGAGAGGGUGACCGGCCACAUUGGGACUGAGAUACGGCCCAGACUCCUACGGGAGGCAGAAGUGGGGAAUAUUGCACAAUGGGCGGAAGCCUGAUGCAGCAACGCCGCGUGCGGGAUGACGGCCUUCGGGUUGUAAACCGCUUUCGCCUGUGACGAAGCGUGAGUGACGGUAAUGGGUAAAGAAGCACCGGCUAACUACGUG
rnacentral:rRNA from 1 species